rnacentral:rRNA from 1 species
GACGAACGCUGGCGGCGUGCUUAACACAUGCAAGUCGAACGGAAAGGCCCUGCUUUUGUGGGGUGCUCGAGUGGCGAACGGGUGAGUAACACGUGAGUAACCUGCCCUUGACUUUGGGAUAACUUCAGGAAACUGGGGCUAAUACCGGAUAGGAGCUCCUGCUGCAUGGUGGGGGUUGGAAAGUUUCGGCGGUUGGGGAUGGGCUCGCGGCUUAUCAGCUUGUUGGUGGGGUAGUGGCUUACCAAGGCUUUGACGGGUAGCCGGCCUGAGAGGGUGACCGGCCACAUUGGGACUGAGAUACGGCCCAGACUCCUACGGGAGGCAGCAGUGGGGAAUAUUGCACAAUGGGCGGAAGCCUGAUGCAGCAACGCCGCGUGCGGGAUGACGGCCUUCGGGUUGUAAACCGCCUUCGCCUGUGACGAAGCGUGAGUGACGGUAAUGGGUAAAGAAGCACCGGCUAACUACGUG